AUGAACGCUGGCGGCGUGCCUCAUACAUGCAAGUCGCGCGAACAGACGAGGAGCUUGCUCCUCUGACGUUAGCGGCGGACGGGUGAGUAACACGUGGAUAACCUACCUAUAAGACUGGGAUAACUUCGGGAAACCGGAGCUAAUACCGGAUAAUAUAUUGAACCGCAUGGUUCAAUAGUGAAAGACGGUUUUGCUGUCACUUAUAGAUGGAUCCGCGCCGCAUUAGCUAGUUGGUAAGGUAACGGCUUACCAAGGCGACGAUGCGUAGCCGACCUGAGAGGGUGAUCGGCCACACUGGAACUGAGACACGGUCCAGACUCCUACGGGAGGCAGCAGUAGGGAAUCUUCCGCAAUGGGCGAAAGCCUGACGGAGCAACGCCGCGUGAGUGAUGAAGGUCUUCGGAUCGUAAAACUCUGUUAUUAGGGAAGAACAAAUGUGUAAGUAACUAUGCACGUCUUGACGGUACCUGAUCAGAAAGCCACGGCUAACUACGUG
rnacentral:rRNA from 1 species